rnacentral:rRNA from 1 species
GACGAACGCUGGCGGCGUGCUUAACACAUGCAAGUCGAACGGAAAGGCCCUGCUUUUGUGGGGUGCUCGAGUGGCGAACGGGUGAGUAACACGUGAGUAACCUGCUCUUGACUUUGGGAUAACUUCAGGAAACUGGGGCUAAUACCGGAUAGGAGCUCCUGCUGCAUGGUGGGGGUUGGAAAGUUUCGGCGGUUGGGGAUGGACUCGCGGCUUAUCAGCUUGUUGGUGGGGUAGUGGCUUACCAAGGCUUUGACGGGUAGCCGGCCUGAGAGGGUGACCGGCCACAUUGGGACUGUGAUACGGCCCAGACUCCUACGGGAGGCAGCAGUGGGGAAUAUUGCACAAUGGGCGGAAGCCUGAUGCAGCAACGCCGCGUGCGGGAUGACGGCCUUCGGGUUGUAAACCGCUUUCGCCUGUGACGAAGCGUGAGUGACGGUAAUGGGUAAAGAAGCACCGGCUAACUACGUG